CUAGCGGCGGACGGGUGAGUAAUGCUUAGGAAUCUGCCUAUUAGUGGGGGACAACAUUCCGAAAGGAAUGCUAAUACCGCAUACGCCCUACGGGGGAAAGCAGGGGAUCUUCGGACCUUGCGCUAAUAGAUGAGCCUAAGUCAGAUUAGCUAGUUGGUGGGGUAAAGGCCUACCAAGGCGACGAUCUGUAGCGGGUCUGAGAGGAUGAUCCGCCACACUGGGACUGAGACACGGCCCAGACUCCUACGGGAGGCAGCAGUGGGGAAUAUUGGACAAUGGGCGCAAGCCUGAUCCAGCCAUGCCGCGUGUGUGAAGAAGGCCUUUUGGUUGUAAAGCACUUUAAGCGAGGAGGAGGCUACUUGGAUUAAUACUCUAGGAUAGUGGACGUUACUCGCAGAAUAAGCACCGGCUAACUCUGUGCCAGCAGCCGCGGUAAUACAGAGGGUGCGAGCGUUAAUCGGAUUUACUGGGCGUAAAGCGUGCGUAGGCGGCUUUUUAAGUCGGAUGUGAAAUCCCUGAGCUUAACUUAGGAAUUGCAUUCGAUACUGGGAAGCUAGAGUAUGGGAGAGGAUGGUAGAAUUCCAGGUGUAGCGGUGAAAUGCGUAGAGAUCUGGAGGAAUACCGAUGGCGA
rnacentral:rRNA from 1 species